GAUGAAGAACGUAGCGAAAUGCGAUAAGUAAUGUGAAUUGCAGAAUUCAGUGAAUCAUCGAGUCUUUGAACGCACAUAGCGCCCCCUGGUAUUCCGGGGGGCAUGCCUGUCCGAGCGUCAUUGCUGCCCUCAAGCACGGCUUGUGUGUUGGGCCGUCGUCCCCCUCCUAGGGGACGGGCCCGAAAGGCAGCGGCGGCACCGCGUCCGGUCCUCGAGCGUAUGGGGCUUCGUCACCCGCUCCGUAGGCCCGGCCGGCGCUUGCCGACGACCAUCAAUCUCUUUCUCCAGGUUGACCUCGGAUCAGGUAGGGAUACCCGCUGAACUUAAGCAUAUCAAUAAGCGGAGGA
rnacentral:misc_RNA from 1 species